GCUACAAGCCAUACCACUCUGAGCACGCCCGAUCUCGUCCGAUCUCGGAACCAAAGCAGGGUAGGGUGAGGGUUAGUACCUUGGACGAGCAAGACCGCUUGGAAUACCAGGUGCUGUAAGCU
rnacentral:rRNA from 1 species